GAUGAACGCUAGCGGCAGGCCUAAUACAUGCAAGUCGAGGGGUAGAGGAAGCUUGCUUUCUUGAGACCGGCGCACGGGUGCGUAACGCGUAUGCAACCUACCUUUAUCAGGGGGAUAGCCCGGAGAAAUCCGGAUUAACACCGCAUAAAAUCACAGAACAGCAUUGUUUCAUGAUCAAAUAUUUAUAGGAUAAAGAUGGGCAUGCGUGCCAUUAGCUAGUUGGCGGGGUAACGGCCCACCAAGGCGACGAUGGCUAGGGGCUCUGAGAGGAGAAUCCCCCACACUGGUACUGAGACACGGACCAGACUCCUACGGGAGGCAGCAGUAAGGAAUAUUGGUCAAUGGGGGCAACCCUGAACCAGCCAUGCCGCGUGCAGGAAGACUGCCCUAUGGGUUGUAAACUGCUUUUGUACGGGAAUAACCACUGGUAUGUAUACCAGCCUGAAUGUACCGUAAGAAUAAGGAUCGGCUAACUCCGUGCCAGCAGCCGCCGUAAGAC
rnacentral:rRNA from 1 species